rnacentral:tRNA from 1 species
CGGGCAGUAGCUCAGUGGUACAGCUCCCGCUUCGUAUGCGAGAACUGGGUUCGAUCCCCGGCUGCUUAC